rnacentral:rRNA from 1 species
UUCCGGUUGAUCCUGCCGGACCCGACUGCUAUCAGAGUGGGACUAAGCCAUGCGAGUCGACGUAGCAAUGCGUGGCGAACGGCUCAGUAACACGUAGUCAACAUGCCCAGGGGACGUGGAUAACCUCGGGAAACUGAGAAUAAACCACGAUAGGUCACGAUUUCUGGAAUGGAUCAUGGCCUAAAUCUACAUGGCCCCUGGAUUGGACUGCGGCCGAUCAGGCUGUUGGUGAGGUAAUGGCCCACCAAACCUAUAACCGGUACGGGCUCUGAGAGGAGAAGCCCGGAGAUGGGCACUGAGACAAGGGCCCAGGCCCUAUGGGGCGCAGCAGGCGCGAAACCUCUGCAAUAGGCGAAAGCCUGACAGGGUUACUCUGAGUGAUUUCCGCUAAGGGGAUCUUUUGGCACCUCUAAAAAUGGUGCAGAAUAAGGGGUGGGCAAGUCUGGUGUCAGCCGCCGCGGUAAUACCAGCACCCCGAGUGGUCGGGACGAUUAUUGGGCCUAAAGCAUCCGUAGCCGGUUCUGCAAGUCUUCCGUUAAAUCCAGCCGCUCAACGGAUGGGCCGCGGAGGAUACUACAGGACUAGGAGGCGGGAGAGGCAAGCGGUACUCAGUGGGUAGGGGUAAAAUCCUUUGAUCCAUUGAAGACCACCAGUGGCGAAGGCGGCUUGCCAGAACGCGCUCGACGGUGAGGGAUGAAAGCUGGGGGAGCAAACCGGAUUAGAUACCCGGGUAGUCCCAGCUGUAAACGAUGCAGACUCGGUGAUGGGCUAGCCUUGUGCCAGCCCAGUGCCGCAGGGAAGCCGUUAAGUCUGCCGCCUGGGGAGUACGGUCGCAAGACUGAAACUUAAAGGAUUGGCGGGGGAGCA